rnacentral:lncRNA from 1 species
GAGUUUCCCAAUGGCUCAGUGUCCCCGCCCUCAGGCCCUUUUCCUUUGAUCCACUCUCCACACUGCUGCCAGGGAGCUUGCCAGAAGGCAGGUCUGAGCGUGCUGAGCCGCCAGUCUCCUCUGUGAAGCCCUUCAGCGGCUCUUCCCAUCAAUGGGAGAAAGUCCCCAUACCUGUCCCACUCUUACCAGACUUCCUUUCUCGGAACGUUCUGGGCUCCUUUGACACAUGCUUUCUCUCCUGUCCAGAUUUUCCUCUCUCAAACUUGGCCAUCUUCACAGAUGAUCUAUUGAACUCACCUUUCCAGGCUCGUGUUGAACAGUACUUCUUCUGUGAGACGUCUCCCAGGGACUGAAGGGAGUAAUCAGCUUGAAUCUUGGAGAAAUUCCCAGUUAACAGCAAAAAGCUAUCAACCAAUCCACACUUUUGGUGAAGUACAGGAAAUGGAAAGAAUGUAACAGAACCUUUGAAGACUACUUGGAUAUAUGGAGGCACAGACUAAAGACUACAUUUCCUAGACCCCUAUGCAGCUGGGUCGGGCCACACAACUAAAUUUUGGCCAACGAGAGCCCAUUGACCAGUCCAAGAAACCCAACUGCAAGGGCAAAAAAGGGAUUGGGGGCCUCUCGCCAGUCUCAGCCAUGCUGCUCAAACUUCUUCGUGGAGGCGAGGAAAGAACAUGGCUCGGAUGGAUGUGCUGGAGGAAAUGCACCAGGAAAUCCCGAGCAGGGUGCAAUCAGUCAGCAUUAAUGCCCACAAGUAUCAAAGCUACUUGAAGAAAUACAGCUACUUAUGGAUGGGCGAUAAAAUUGAAUUCAUGAAGCAGCUCCUUCUCCAUGGGCAAUUUCUUGGUGCUGAAGAACUAGAAUUGCAUGCAGACUAAGAGUGUCAGAACUCCACACUGCAGUCAGCACACUUUGAAGAACAGGCAUUGAAUUUUAGCCGAGUCUAGCAUUAUCUUUUUCGAUUCCGAGGACAGCUAUUAAAUCAUAAAAUAUUUUGUGAUAUAAAGCUCUUGCUUCUGAGAGAUCUUUCCUUUCUUCCCUUUAAGAUCAACAUCUAUGAAAUAUUAUGUGAAUGAGUUGACAGCUUUAAAAAUCAGAGGAUAUUUAGUGGCUAGCUUCAAGUUGAUAGUAAACCUUUUAAAAACCAAUGAUGAAUGUUAC